GGUCACACAGAAGGCUUGGGGCGGAGUUGGGAUUCGGACCCAGGUCUUCUGACUCCCAGCUCUUGGCUCUCCGGACGAGGCCACGCUUCUCCCCGAUCCCCCACGGAGGCCUCGUCCGAACCUCGAGAUUGGGUCACGUAGGAAGGCGAAGGGGACCUGUCCGCCCCCGGACUCCAGACUGACCCGGAACGAUGCCGACGGGAGCCCCGUCCCUCUCUCGUGAAUCGACCCCUCUCUCCGGCGGGAGAAUCUGCACACGCUGACGGAGCCUAGAGCUGAGCCGUGGAGAGACCGCCCUCUCGUCGGGGUCACCCGUGUCGGAAAGGUGGGACCGAGUUGAUUCGCCCCUGCCGGGCGGGAGCGGCACGGGGAAGAGACGGAGGCGGAUCAUCGGGGGAUCAAAAUGUCCGUCGGAGACAACGGCAGAGCCUUGAGUUUUUACCGCGCAGAAGAAGGCGACGGUAAACCACUUCUGUACUUUUGACCAAAGGAAACCUCUACGGAAAAACAACCACAGAGUCGCUAUGGAUCGGAAAGGACUCGACAGCAUCGGAGAAGGAGACGAGCACCCCCUAGACCGGCAAUUCCUUGUGGGCAGGGAACAUGAGCCUUCCGGGGGGUCGGGGACCAGGACUCAUUUCCGACUGUGAAUCCCACCGGUUGCUCUGUACCGUGCUCGGCCCCGAAUAAGCGCCUAAUAAAUACCACCACCAUUA